GGGGGUAAUUUAGGCUUCGACAGGGUAAAAGAUUAAAAAAGUGCAAGCAGGUUAGAUACAACCUUAAAAGUUCAAAAUAUAGUUGCAAACAACAACACACACUUCGAAGCAGUCGCACUAGCGGCUUAAUCGGGAGGCUGAUUAGAGCCUUCUAUCCAAUCUAAUCAAAAAUAACAAAUAAGUUAUAAAAAUUAAAAACAUCUACUGCAACAGGACGGUAAGCUGUAGAUUAAAGCCGUCUACCUUUGUUAGUUUGAAAAAGGAUAAACUAAAUAAGCUUGUAAAUGACUUAAUAUUGACAUUAUUCUGGACGGGGGUUCGACUCCCCCUACCUCCACUA
rnacentral:tmRNA from 1 species